rnacentral:lncRNA from 1 species
AGACGCCCUGCGGCCGCUUUGCCUGACCAAAGUCUGUGGGCGUGGAACAGGCCCUGGGUUCUCCUACUGGGAAGAAUGAAGUUCAGGUACUCCAUGUGAUAUAUGGUUCCACAAUCCUCAGCGUGUUAACUGAAGCCUUGUUGAGUUUAACAAAGCUGCCAUUGAAGAUCUGGGGAAAGUGAAGAAGUUGCAACAGAGUUUUGGGCUCACACCAUUGAUACAUUUGAUCCUUAAGGCAAGUGACAAUUUGGGUUUCACAGGCCCACCCCGCCUCACUCCCACCCUCUUCUACUUAAUUCAGGAUGUGAAUAGCACAUGCCUUCCAUCUUCAGACAAACACUGAGGCCUGGACAAUGACCUGCAUUAGGUAGAUAGAAUCUACUGAAAGCUAAAAGCCUUUUCCUGUGUCUUAGCAGCACGGAAGCCACGCCUCCUUCCCCCCAAUGUUUGUGCAAACCCUAGAGAAGAGGAGACAGCCCCUAUGAUGUGUGAGGUUGAAUUUCCUGCCCUCAACCCAUCAAAUCAGGCAGAAUGAGGGCUCAGUCAGAACUACAACUACAAAAGAGAAAAAUUUUAAUGUGACUUUUCUUGUCUGCUCAGAUUUUUGGGUUAAGGUUCAUGCCAGCUACAUUCUUUGCAUAAUAAAAUAUAAAUAGAGUAUAAAUUGUUCUAGUUAGAGAAAACAGCAAAACAGUGCUCUCCCAAGGGCCCUAAUAAAUCACUUUACAGAAACGUGGAUGUGUGUUGGAUUUACAGGAUUUCUAUGCCAAGCAGAGAAGUACGUGAAAACAGGAAAGCAAAAUGCAUAAGUUGCAAUAAUAGUUUUGUGGUUUAGCUGAAUAAUGUCCUAUAUCAACAGAGGAUAAUGAUUUUAGUUUUUCAGUUGCCCCAAGAUCAUUUCCAUUACUGAUGAGGCUUGAAAUGUCUGUGAAGAAGAGUCAUUGCAAUUGAUUUAUUUGUCUGGCAAACUUUUUGUCAGCAAAUUCACCACUACCUCAAAAAUCUCACUAGCUACUCUAUGCUUAAGACAUUGGAAGCAUAAGCCACAAUGAAAACUAACUCUUAGCAUUAGAAUUCUAAGAAGCAGUAAUGUAUUUAUGAUUUUAUGUUAAAAAUCUCCCAGAUGUCAGCAUUUAAAUCACAAUUCAGUAAUAUAAGUAAUUUGAAAUUAGAAAGUUUUAUACUUCACCAUUCUAUUUUCCUCUUCAAAUUGAACACAGUUUGAAAGAAUUAAGAAAAGAAGCUAUAAAAAAUAAAUUGUUCAAGGAUUCUUCCUGUUUCUAAACACCACAAGAUUAUGAUGAUAGAGACAUCAUUUGAAGUGGUAGAGAGUACUGUGAAAUAUCUAUAUGUGAAUGUAAUGAAAAUGAAAAAAUAAUCUGAUGAAUUUUUAAAAUUAAUCUUGUUAGAGUCAUUUUUGAGAAAUUGUAUGCAAGUGUAUUGAUUGAAAAUGACCUUCUCAUUCAAGAAAAAUUUAUUGAGCACUUACCAAGUGUCAACAGGUGAAUGUGAAUAAAAUAGAUAUGGUCCCUGCCUUCUUGGAGUUGAAUAAAAUAGCAAACACUUAUUGAAUAUUUAUUAUAUGUUGUGCAUUAUAAUAUUAACCAAUGUUUAUUGAGUUGUUAUUAUAUGCCAACUAUGCCAAUCCUGUCCUAAGCAAUUUAUGUAUGUUAACUAAUUUAAUCCUCACAAUAAAUCUAUGAGGUAGGUACUAUUAUUUCUGUCAUAAAAUUACAAAGGCAUAGAGAGAUAAUUUGUCUAAGGUUCCAUAGAGUAAGUAGGGGACCCAGAAUUCAAUUCAAGGAGUCUUUUUGUUCUGCAUGACAUCUCAACUGCUAUAUAAAUAUUAUUUAGUUCCCAGGGCAAAUUUUUCAGGAUAAUAUUCUUAUUCUCUCAAUUUUACAGAAGAGAAAACUGCAGUGUAAAGAGGUGAAAUAACUCACCAAAAGUUAACUGACAAUGAUCCUACCCACUACAUCACACUGCUUAACUGGGAAGACACGCAAUUUAACAAGUACCAACCAGGCUCCACAUUUAAACUCUGACCCCGUUUGACCUUAAAGUAAUGCAUUUUUCUUCAAAGCAGACACUUCGCCACCCCAAAAAAAACCAUAUCUGAAAAGACAUAAUGUACUUAAUCAAUGGCUUCCUGCUAUAAUCACCACAACCACAUCCUUUCCUAGAAUCGUAUCUGUCUUAUUGAAUCCUUCCAUUAGCUUUUCUCCUAUACAUGAAGUUCAAAUAGCACACCUGAGUUUUUGAGGGCAUACACAACUUACACAUUCCAGGCUCAAAUAUUUUUUUCCUCCCCUGACUCAUGAACUUUUUGAAAUUUAACAGUUUCUUCUAUCUUUUAUGCUACCUGGUCUAUCUGAACCAAACAUAUAUAUUUUGCAGUUUCCUCCUAAAAUACAUUCAAAGCACUGUUUUGCUUCGCAUUGCUGAUAUUUAACUCCUUUGCAAUAUCACUGCUACUUAUACACAAACAAAAAUCUGGUGUUUUUUAAGAGGAAGCCAAACUAAAUAAAUCAUUUUAAAGAUAUAUAUAUGGUUGGGUGUGGUGGCUCAUGCCUGUAAUACCAGCACUUUGGGAGGCUGAGGCGGGUGGAUCUCCUGAGGUCAGAAGUUCGAAACAAACCUGGCCAUCAUGGUGAAACCCCGUGUCUACUAAAAAAUACAAAAAUUAGCCAGGCAUGGCGGUGUGUGCCUGUAAUCCCAGCUACUUGGGAGUCUGACGCAGGAAAAUCACUUGAACCCGGGAGAUGGAGGUUGCAGUGAGCCAAGAUUGCACCAUUGCACUCCAGCCUGGGAAACGAGAGCGAAACUCCAUCUCAAAUAUAUAUAUAUAGGUUGAGCGCAGUGCUCACGCCUGUAAUCCCAGCAUUUUGGGAGACUAAGGUGGCGGAUCAUGAGGUCAGCAGUUCG